UACGUAGGGGGCAAGCGUUGUCCGGAAUUAUUGGGCGUAAAGCGCGCGCAGGUGGUUUCUUAAGUCUGAUGUGAAAGCCCACGGCUCAACCGUGGAGGGUCAUUGGAAACUGGGGAACUUGAGUGCAGGAGAGAAGAGUGGAAUUCCACGUGUAGCGGUGAAAUGCGCAGAUAUCAGGAGGAACACCGAUUGCGAAGGCAGCUCGCUGGGACGUAACUGACGCUGAGACGCGAAAGCGUGGGGAGCAAACAGG
rnacentral:rRNA from 1 species